GUUUUUCUGAGUGGUUGAAAGCAUAGUUAGUAAAUUCGCGAUUAAUACGCGAAUUAUUCGCGUAUUUUUCAAAAUGCGAAUUAAAUGACGAAUUUCGUAUUUUUCCGAAAAAUUCGAACAAAAUACGCGAUUUUUUCAUCAAAAAUCAUUAUUCGCGAAUUAUUCGCAAUUCGCGAAUAAUUCGCCCAAAAAAUCGCGAUCGCGC
rnacentral:lncRNA from 1 species